rnacentral:rRNA from 1 species
AUUGAACGCUGGCGGCAGGCCUAACACAUGCAAGUCGAACGAGUGGCGGACGGGUGAGUAAUGUCUGGGAAACUGCCUGAUGGAGGGGGAUAACUACUGGAAACGGUAGCUAAUACCGCAUACCAUCGGAUGUGCCCAGAUGGGAUUAGCUAGUAGGUGGGGUAACGGCUCACCUAGGCGACGAUCCCUAGCUGGUCUGAGAGGAUGACCAGCCACACUGGAACGGAGACACGGUCCAGACUCCGACGGGAGGCAGCAGUGGGGAAUAUGGCACAAUGGGCGCAAGCCGGAUGCAGCCAUGCCGCGUGUAUGAAGAAGGCCUUCGGGUUGUAAAGUACUUUCAGCGGGGAGGCGUUACCCGCAGAAGAAGCACCGGCUAACUCCGUGCCAGCAGCCGCGGUAAUUC